rnacentral:rRNA from 1 species
GACGAACGCUGGCGGCGUGCUUGACACAUGCAAGUCGAACGGAAAGGCCUGCUUUCCCUUGUGGAUUGCGGGUACUCGAGUGGCGAACGGGUGAGUAACACGUGAGUGAUCUGCCCCCAACUUGGGUAUAAGCCUGGGAAACUGGGUCUAAUUCCCGAUAGGACUGCAGGGUGGUGCCUGUGGUGGAAAACGAUUUUCUAGUGGUUGGGGAUGAGCUCGCGGCCUAUCAGCUUGUUGGUGGGGUAAUGGCCUACCAAGGCGGCGACGGGUAGCCGGCCUGAGAGGGUGGACGGCCACAGUGGGACUGAGAUACGGCCCAGACUCCUACGGGAGGCAGCAGUGGGGAAUAUUGCACAAUGGGCGGAAGCCUGAUGCAGCGACGCCGCGUGGGGGAUGACGGCCUUCGGGUUGUAAACUCCUUUCGACCGCGAGGAAGCCACCUGGUUGGAAGGGUGGUGACGGUAGUGGUAGAAGAAGCACCGGCUAACUACGUG